GAUUGAUACUGUUACGGUUACGAUGAGAAGCGACCCAUUGAAAAGCAGUCCAGCAGUCUUCAUAUGCUGCGGGAAGAAGGUGUUCUGGGGCUAGCCUGUAUUCAAUGGAGACUGCGAGUACUUGAGACUGAGAGACCAAGAUGUUGAGGUACCUGUGGUCAAUAAAUGAGAAAGCGGACUCGAAGCAGAAGGCGCUGCCGUGGAAGUAGACCAAAACGGGGAGUUUUUGAUGGGGUUGGGCGAGUUUUGGGAGGUAGAGGCGAGCGGAUAUGGCGGGGUUUUGAGAGAUGGUUACGUCUUUUGACGAGACCCCGAAUUGAGGAUCCGGGUCAAGCGUUGGAGGCACGUAGGGUGAAUCCAUCAUCCGCUCAACUGACCCAUCUUUGUAGACUCUGAUCAGUGGGAGGAGCUCUUUGGCUACUUCUUUGUUUGUUGAAGCAGCCAUUGGAAUUUUUGAGAGAGAUUACUGAAUUGGUUUGGAAAUCGCGGAAUUACUUGACAGGAUCGAGAGAAGAAAUGGCCGAAUUGGUGAGUGGGACACAGUUGAGCUGACCAAGACCCAUUUCUGUUCUGAUUGCAAUCCAACUUAACAUGUCCAGACUAACAGUACCACACAUUGACUUUAUUAAAAAAAGUUUAUGUCACAUUAAAGUCUUAAAAUGCAAGACAGCGCGCUAUUAACUCCACUGGAAACAGCCUUAGUUACAUUGUCUGAGCAUUGUGGGAGUUGAAUGUUUAAACUAAAAAUAAUUUGAGUGUAUUUGAAUUUUUUUUCUCCUUUAUAUGUGCAUACAAAGAAACUCAACCUUUACAAAAUAAUGAGUAAAAUAAAUAAAAAAAUUAUAAGGAGGAAUUGUAUCAUUACGAAGGCAGAAUCUUAUUUUGGAUUAUAUUACGUUGAAUGAAAAUAAUCAUAAUUAAUUAAACUUUUAACAGUUACCAAGCACUAUUUUUUUUUCCUUUCAUAAAAGUCAAACAAGAAAAGUAAUCAUGUGGAACUUUCAACUAUUAUUUUAUUUAAUAUAUAUGAAUAUCGAAGUUAUCUUUUUAACAAAAAAAAAAUCGAAGUUAUCUUAAUUAUUUGAUAUUAUGGCUUAAAGGCGUUGACCAUUAAAAUAAGACAAAAUAAAAUUUAAAAAGAAACAUACUGAUAACGAGCUUCAAGGUCACACAUACAUUGAACACGAAGAGAAGACUUUGAAAGAAAGAAUAGUCCACUGGGCCGGCGGCUUAGAGUGUGCAGCACGUGCAUGAACAUGAUUCGAUUGAUUGGAUCAACAACACCUUUUGUGAAGCCCGACUGUUUUUAGUUAAGUCUAGCUUCGGUUGAUUGGAUCGAAUAUUUCACCUAUUUGUUGUUAUUAUUCCGGUUAUUAGGUGAAAACUUGGAUGAAAAUUGCUAAACUCGGCAUUCGUAAACUAAAAUAAUAAAACCAAAUUAAAAAUCUAGAAAAAUGAAAACGAGUGGAAACAAGUUACCAACGUACAGAUGUGAUGCCUUUAAUUUUCUUUAAUCUAAAAAAUUUGCUGAUUGCUGUGCCUUUAAUUUACUUUCUUUAAUUACAAAAAUUCCUCUCUUCAGACAAGUUAAGAAUCUGCAAAUUUUAAAACCACCGACACCACCUGCUGCCGCCACAAUCAUCAGCCUUCACACCCGCCGCCGACAGUGCUCUGUGGUGACGGCAGAAGCUUGCUGAUAUUGAAAGCUUGGUUUGAUAAGAGAACGAAUCAAAUGAGUUGGAUGUCGUUAAAGUUUCUAAGUAAUUUACUGAUUCCGUCAAAAGACAUUACGUGUCACUCACUUUUAAUUACUGAGAAAACCCAUUUUUUAAAAGUUUUUUGUUUAAAAAACCGAACUUAACCGUUUUAAAACAUAUAGAAGGCCCAAUCUAGUCUAACAAAAUAGUUCGAUUCCAAAUUUACUCAGUCCACCCUUUUAAACCAGUGCAUGUGACAAUUUUAUAGAUACUCUAUGAAAAUUUUAAUAAUUUGUUGUCUUAACCUUAUAAAUUGUCAAGCGCAUCAUAUUCCUGCAAAUAGCAAAUUCUAAAUAUAUCAUAUUUGGUUAUAGAAUUUAGAAUCUUCUUACUUUCUUAAUAUAGUAUGAGGAAGAUAUUGCAUUAUCUUUUUUUUAUAAGGCAUAACUAACGGUGGAUGUAAGCAGUAUCGAAGUGUACUAUUUCUUAAUUAAGCAAACAAUGAGGUAUUUCAAACUAUCUUCUGCUAAUUGAGAAAGAGUUCUUAUAAUUUCUUCCCGUUUGAAUCAUCUCGCUGUGUGUUAUCCAUUCGACAUGAUUAUGACUUUAGCAUAAAUAUAAUGAAUCUUGGACUAACGAAUAAGACUUUCUAACUAGUACUUGUAGCACUGAGAGGACACGUGUUUUUUCUAAGCUUUAAUUAGUUAGUCAAACCAUUUUUCAAAUUCAAUUACAUUUUUAGCCUAAUUAUCAUUAGAAAUACUCAAUAAAUUGGAUAAUCAUGUUACAUGCUAAAAUAAAAACUAUAAUUAUUUAUUUAAUUUCUAUAUUUUACAAGAAAUUCAACAGCGGAAAUGAUGCUUGAAGAUGGUAAACUCGGCUCAAAGAAAGUGAAGAUUGUGGGAAAGCCCUCAGACAUGAACUUGCUUUUUUCAUAUCUUUUUGGUUGAUGAAGAUCAUAUCAACUGCAAAAUUCAAUCGACGAUUUUGAAAUCAUAUGAAUCAAAGUCGAAAAGUGGUUAAAAUAGAAAACUGCAGUUGAUUUUUUUUUUUUUUCGUGCUGGAGUAAUUUCUAUAGUGUUCAAUAAAAUGAAAGUUCCUGUUAGGAAUGGGAUCGAGGUAUAUUAGUUAAUUUCAUAAUAUCGCCUAUUUUCUUCUCUUGACUAGAAAAAUAGAUAUUUGGCUUCAAAGGCAGCUAUUCAUUGUUCUAUACUAAUUAAAGUAAGUAAUCAGUGUAACUAAUUAAUAAGCAUAUAUCAAUGAUCAACAAGUCUGAUGUAAAAUGAUUGCGUAGGAUGAAAAGAGUACUUUUGGAGGUAAUAAUUUAAACUAUAGUUACUCAUUUUUAACUUGUAAUAUAUUAUUUUAAAGUUUGCAAUCAUACGAACCUAAUCCAAAAUGUCAAAUUAAAAAUUACUGUUUUUUUAUGAUCGUUUUUCAGUUUAAGUUAUUUUUUUUAUUACUUUUAAGAUUUUUAUCUUUUUUUUUAUAUAUCAGAUUUGGACGUCACUUGUUUUAUUUUCUUUAGAAAAAUUUUAUUAUAAAAUAAUAUUUUAUAUUUACUUAUUUUGAUAAAUUCAUGAUAUUUAGGGUUAAUAUAAAAAAGCAUCAAAACCAUAAUUUUAUUCAUUCAACCUUUUUAAUUCAAUUUUCAUUAUAUAGAAACUUAGUUUCUCUUUAUCUAUCAACUUUUUUAUUUCCACAUCAUCAAAGUCAUAACGAAUCCGAUGUUCAACAUUAAGAUUUGUCAUCAGCCAGCCACAUGAAAUGCGAGAAAAUAUUAAUGCUAUUUGAUAAAUGAUCUCGAUAUCUUGAUUCUUGUAGUUCUAACAAAUUAAAAUUUAUCGAAGAAAAAAUCGAACACAUUACAUGAUUAGAUGCAUCUAAGUAUUCCUAGAGCUGGCAUAAUAAGAUGCGACUCUGAUCGUACAUUACAUAAUAUGAAAUGCAAACCCCGGGUCCCUUUUUUUAGUGUAUGCGGUCCGGGUAAAACUCGGACCGGAUUGGCGGGUCCGGUCCGGGCGGGUUUUUUUUACACCCCUAAAUUCUAGAUCCGGAGUUUGCACGAUCAUUCUUCUUGAAAUGAAUUUAUCAUUAUCGCAUGUUUACAUUUUGAAGUGUUUCAAGGUGUAAUUAAAGUAUCCUCGCCUUAGGCUCAAGAUAUUAGAAGAGGGAAGACGAUAUGAGCGGAUCAAGGGAAGAAUCUCCCGAUUGGCUGCGUUCUUUCCAGGUAUAAUUCAUUUUAAUUUCUAAAUUUCUCAAUCUCUCAAAAAUUUUGAAAAGAUGGAUAUAUGUUCAAUGGAUCACACCUACCAAGUGAAAGUAUUUUGUUUUUUCUUUCAAGUUAGUCUCACAAAAAUUAUUUUUGGUGUCGCUGCUGAGCAUGAUUACAUAUUUGCUCGGCCACUGAUUAAAUUUACUUGUAUGAUCAGGCUCCAACUCAUUCUGUAUUGACGUUAUCAUCUGAUUCUGAUUCUGAUUCUUCUCACAAUGGUACAUCCUCAAUGGAGGACGAGAUUGAUAAUGGAUACACUUCGCCUCAAAUUUUCUGCCGGGGUUUUAGCAAUAACAACUUAACUACAUUGUUUUGUUCUUUGAUAAUAAUUUAGGGAACGGAGAUGGUGGGAAAAAUAUUGCCGAGCUGACAUUUGAGAAACAUAUGGAGCCUUUUGUAAGAAUCUCUGUGCCAUCACUGCUUGGGUAUUCUUCCAUCUGAUAAUUGCCUUAGGCCUUUUUGGUAUUGAGUAAAAUAUCUGGUAAAUACUAGCUAUUAUAGUUUGGAAGCUGAGUUGAUUUGACUGGACAAUUGUAUGAUAACAAACCUAUAUAAUAUCUUUACUAUUUUUGUCAAAUUAUUAUUAGAAAAUCAUAUUUACUAUAUACUAUCAAUUUUUAUUUUAUAGUCACUGUUUUUUUUUCACAGCAGCUGUAGCUUUUAGCUGUUGUAACGUAAAAACUACAGCACCACAAUACUGAAUAAGGUCUUAGAUAUAUAGGAAUUUGCUAAGUUCCUUAUCAUGGUUGUCUUUUGACGGUCUAUUAUAGAAGGUCAUCAUUCAAAAUACCAAAAAUAAAUAAAUAAAUAAAAAUCUUUCUAUUUUGAUUAUCUCCAAAGAGCUUUCAGCCUCUUGAGCAAUUAAUUCAAGUGACAAAAAUUGGUACUUUUCUAGAUAACUCUUUUCAUCAAAACACGAGGACCUUAGUCAGUCACCAAAAUAUUUGGUCACUGUUGUCUUAAUAAUAAAAGCAACUCUCAUGCAAAUAAGCAAAUUUUAAUUUAUUUAUUUAAUUAUUUUGUGUGUAUGUGUCCUGCAAGUGCUCUAGUUUUGAGAAUUUAUCAAACAGUUGUUGCCUGCUUAAUAUUUUUUUACCAAUGCAUUUCUGUGGGAACAUUAUAAGUUUUAUAAUGAAUUUCAACUACUUCUCCAAGAAGAUGGAAGGAAAUUGGUAUUUGUGGAAAAUUAAACUCAUUUACUCUGGUGGGGAACCUUUUGUGUGUUAGGAUUUUAUUGAUGUAACUGAAGCUGAAAACUUGGAGGGCCUGAUGCUGGUCCUUUGUUCAUAUUCGAAUGCAAAUUUGUGGCAGAAGCAAACUGAUUUAGGAUGCACAAACUUUGAUUGGAUUGUACAAAUAAAAAACUCUUAGUUCUUCCAGGCAAAAGCUUCUUUUGACUAGUAAGAUACUGCUUUGGCUUUUUCUGUGGUUAAUUUUAGGCUUAUAUGGAGCUCAUAAUUGUAUGUUACUGUAGGGGCAGAUAAAUUUUUAAGGGUCUUACUGGUGCUCCAAAAUAAGAAAGUUGUUAGAUUAUUGUUAGAUUAUCCCUGUUGGUUAUAUUUGAGCUUAUAAAGAAAGUUGUCUGAUUUGACAUUCUUGUGAGUUUAUGGUCAAGAAAUCUAAGGGAAUGCUAGGCUCCUCGUUUGAAAUUUGCCACUGACUUAACUGGAACUAGCGAGCAAGUGUCAAUGUGCUUUUGGGUGCUUAGUUCUUACAUUUGAAACUAGUUAAAUUUAACAUGGAAUUUAUGCUUCUUCAAACACUAUUACAAUCUUCAUAAGGCUGCCUCAAAAAAUAUGUGGUAUGGAACUCCUUGAAAUACAUUGGAUUAUUGGUUUAUUUAACGUGUUCAGAUAUCUUGAACCUCUUCAGAUUGUGGUGGAAACAUUAGAAACAUAUGUUGAGCUUGCCAUCUUGUGUCGAUUGAUGACAACUUCAUUUAUUGUUGAGUAGGCACCAAAAAGUUCAAUUUUGGCAUCAUCAUCAGAUUCUGAGUCAUGCCAGAAUAGUAGCCUCUUAAGGGAGGAGAAAGCAUUUCAGUUCCAAGAGAAAGAAAUGGACGAGGAUGCAGCUCUGACUGGUAGAGAAGAAAAGACUUCAGUUAAGAAGGUUUCAAAAGAAAAGUCUCCUAAGAAAGGGCUAAAAUCACCAAAGAAAGAAAAAGAUGUAAUUAAUAAUGUGAAAAGAAAAGGUAUGAAGUCUAUGCGAUGGUGACAGAUUCUAAUUUGAAAGAUUGAUAGUUAAUCAGGAUAUUGUCUUAAAUCUGAAUCUUUUGUGGACAGAAAAUGGACUGUUUUCAUUUCACCAAAAAAGAAAUUAAAAAAUAAAAGGUACUUUAUUUGGAGUUCUUAUGCAUGUCGGUUUAUAAUGGUGUAGGAAACAAUGACCAUGAAGAUGCUGAGGAAGACAUAGCGGAGAAGCGUAGUAUGCUUAAUGUGAGAAUUUUAUAGUAGCAGCUGUGACGAUUGCUCCUCUAAUCUGUCUUGUUCAACUCAUAGUUUUAUUAUUUUCAGGUCUCUACCUCGACAUUGCCUUUGGUGAUGUCAGAGAAACUCCAACGUACUAAGGUAGCACAUCUUGUUUAGAUUUUGGCUUCCUUUUAUCUGCCUUUUCUUUUGUGCUUGAUUCACUAGUCUCAAACUUUCCCAUAAUAAUUUCCUAGUUAGACAUGAAAUGUAUCUUUAUGCUGCAGAAAUUGUUACUUUUGCUGAUGUUUAAAUUGCAAUUCUUCAACGGAUGAGAGGAGGAUUUUCUUGCAAAUAGUGCUGAUGGAUGCUUAUAAAAAUGACGGCCUUUGGUGCUUUUUUGCCCAACUAAUUAAUCUUAUUAGAUACUUAGGAGUAUCAUCAGAUGCUAGUAAACUAAUUUCUCUUUUACUAGAACAUGCAAGAAUGCAUCAAAUACUUUUUCUCAAUGUCUAUCUCUCGGGUGUUCAGGUAUAUGUAGAUAAAAAACUGCGGAUUUGUUUCUGGUUUUCGUGACUGAAUUUUUUAAUAUAUUGUUUGUCUCUGCAUGUUCUCUUUUGUGUUUGUCUCUGUAUGUACACAUCUAGCAUACAUGUAAUGAAUAGAAGCUUUGUUGUUUAUGCAGGCACUUGUGGAGUGUGAAGGGGAGUCUGUAGAUCUGAGUGGCGAUAUGGGGGCUGUUGGAAGAAUACUAGUUCCUGGUACUGCUGAGGGAAACCAUGAAAUGUUCUUGGACUUAAAAGGCAUGUUUUUUUUCCAGUUCAAUUUUUUUUAAUUCAUAAAUUUUAAAAUGAUCUGUCUUUUUCUUUUUAAAAUAAGAACAGAUAAUCAUCCCUAUUUUAUGUAAGACAGGACUGUAAACUCACAUGGUUUAAAAUUGAAUUAAGUUUACCAGCAUUGGACGCAUUUAGCAAUAUACAUUUUUGCUCCUGUUUUAUUUUUAUUAUUUUUGGGGUCUUGCUUACCUCCUGUUGUAUUGUUUUCCCCAUGUCUUGUCUACCUGCUCAGCUGCUCCCUUGUUUUUUCCGCUUUAUUGUUUGUUUAUAUAAAAAUUACUCUUUCAAGGUCUACUUUGACAUGUAUUCCUGAUUGUUGAUUAUUUAUUUGCAUUCUCGGUCUGCUGUUGACUGGUUUAGUGUUUUUUCACUCUCAGGAACCAUAUACAAAACAACAUUAGUUCCUUCCAGGACAUUUUGCAUUGUACGUUAUCAAUCUCCUUUGAAAUUCCUCAAAUUGGAUAUUAUUUCACCUACUCAAAAGAAACGGCGAUGAUAAUAAUAGCAUGAUAAUAAUAAUAAUUAAAUCCCCUUUCCAUUUUCUCUGUUUCAAUUAUGGUCCAUAAAAAGUUAAUUUUUGCUGAGAUAGUAAGAUUGUUUAAUAACUUAGCUUUCUUUCUCUUCAGGUUAGCUUUGGCCACUCAGAGGCUAAGGUUUGUUGCGAGUCCUCUCCUUUUUCAUUUAUACUUUUGGAUUUUCCUAUUUUAAUUUUAUUAUUAUCCUUUUGUCUGUCAUAUAUAUUUUUCUUCCUCAUUAGUGAUUUUCCAAAUAGUUUAUGACUUUGAUAUUGCUAAGACAACCGCGGUACUGUGAUAAAUUUAAUCCAACUUAUUGACAUAAUUUUAUAUUUCUUGAUCAGAUAGAGGCCAUCAUGAAUGACUUUAUUCAGCUGAAGCCACAGUCUAAUGUUUAUGAAGCUGAGACUAUGGUUGAAGGUCAAGAUUUUAUCACACUUUCUCUAGAUGCACGCACACACACUCAUAUAUGUGCAUUUACUCGAUUAUCCUAAUGUUUGUCUUAGAUUCAUCCAGAUAAACCAUUUUCAAAAGUUCAUUGAGGACCCAGAAGUUUCACUGUUUUAUCAUUAAAAUAGUUCAAAACAAAUUAAUCACUCGGAUACAUGUUAAUUUUAAAACUUAUCCCUUAAUAUCCCGCUAAAUAAUAGGAGUUGGUUAAACUUAUUGUCAGACACAUAUCUAGCUAAAAUCCAAUGUUUUCCCCCCCUUUUUUCCUUUCUCUAAGAUGGUGUGUGAAAAUGAUUGCUUUACUAAUUCUUAAAUCAAAAUGUAAUUGAUAAAAGAACAUUGCUCUAAAUUGAAAAAAUUGCCCCGGGUAUUUGAAUUAUUUAUUAAAAUUGGCAUUUAGGCAAUUGGACUUAUAACAACUAUAUGUUUUGUACAUUUAAAUGUGCAUGCUGACAACCACUUCACUUCUUAUUAUAUCUAUGUCCUAUCGAGUUCUUACCUUCUUCCUCACAAUUCAUGAAUGCUGUUUCACUCACAAUGUGUGAACAUUGCAAUAGAAAAUUUAUUGAAGCAUCUGAACUCAACUAGUAUCAGUGACGGUGGGAUUAUUAAGCUAAAAAUUUUAGAGUCAGUUAAACUUUUAAACAAAGGGGUUCUCAAGUAAUAGACUUUGGAAGUAAUCUAGAGGUUGACUUAAAGUUUUAAACUAAUGGGUGCAUAAAUUUUUUUUUUGGGGGGGGGGGGGAUUGGGCCAAACUCAUAUGAAAGGUGUCUAGAACUUUUUCAUUGUUUAAAUGACAAAAGUACCCAGAGAUUGUUUUCUCGGUUAUCAAUUUUCCUUUUUUUUUUAAAUUGCUUUAACAUAUUUUCACCUAAAUAGAAAAGUGUAGAUAAACUUCCCUGUUAUUUAUUGGAAUGAGAAUAGGUCUGAACUGUUGUCAUUAUGUCCUCUCGCAAAAUAUUAAGUUUAUUUGCUUUUUACCACAUACAAACGUGUGUAUAUGUAAACUGAAUUAUCAUAAACUACAAUAAAAUUGAUUAACGUGUUUCUAAUUUAGAAUAUUAAAGGAUUGUAUUCACUUGAACAUGAUUUAUUUUUGAUAAAAUACUAUCUUAUUAAAUUUUUUUUUUGGGGGGGGGGGGAUUGGGCCAAACUCAUAUGAAAGGUGUCUAGAACUUUUUCAUUGUUUAAAUGACAAAAGUACCCAGAGAUUGUUUUCUCGGUUAUCAAUUUUCCUUUUUUUUUUAAAUUGCUUUAACAUAUUUUCACCUAAAUAGAAAAGUGUAGAUAAACUUCCCUGUUAUUUAUUGGAAUGAGAAUAGGUCUGAACUGUUGUCAUUAUGUCCUCUCGCAAAAUAUUAAGUUUAUUUGCUUUUUACCACAUACAAACGUGUGUAUAUGUAAACUGAAUUAUCAUAAACUACAAUAAAAUUGAUUAACGUGUUUCUAAUUUAGAAUAUUAAAGGAUUGUAUUCACUUGAACAUGAUUUAUUUUUGAUAAAAUACUAUCUUAUUUACAUUUGUUGAGAUGUUUAUAAUAAAUUUAACAUUUAAAAUUUGUAAGGACGCAAUUAUAAAAGUAUAGUGUUCAGAAACUAACAACUUCAUACUCAUUAUUAGAGAUUCAAACUAAAAACCAAGCAUGUCAUUCAAAUUCAGAAAUUUAGCUCUUUUUAGAAUUCAGAUUUAAAAAAUAAAAUAAAAUUGCCACUGUAAUGACUAAUUUUCCAAAAGGGUUAUCUUGGUGAAUUUGAAUGAAGCAUGGGUGCCUGAGUGAAAUUGAGGACAUUUAUACAGAAAAUGUCUUGUUAUGGCAAUUGUGUUUGUGUAUCAUUAUUUGAUAUGUCCACUUCUAAUCGACAUUUGUCCUUCACGUUCAUUGAUUUCAUUUGAGCAGGAACAUUGGAUGGUUUCUUAUUUGAUUCGGAAGAUGAAUCUGACAAGCUUGCUAAAGCUAUGCCUCAUCAAAUUGAUCAAAAUGAUGGCAUUGAAGAACAAACAAAUGAGAAGACCAAAGUGAAAUCUGUAAGUUUCUGGACCCUUUCAAAUAGUUACUACUGCAUCUAUUAUGAAUCCACAACUUAUAAUCUUUUGCAUUGUGUUAUUGUAUGAAUUUUUGAAAAGCAGGGGCCUGCAGGAAAGAGAGGUACGAGUGCUGGAGGACCGCCACAGCCACCAAAGAGAGCAAGAAAGAGAACUAUAGUUUCAAAGAAAGCUAAGGCGAAGAAAUGAGGCAUACAAUGUCUGUUUUAUGUUUCUUAUAUCCUGCUAAUGCUAUGGCUGUAUUAGUCAGAUGUUAGUUAUUUAGGUGAAAUGAAUCAAGAGUAGAAAUCAGAGGUUAAUAAUUUCAGGGGGAUUGUUUUUUGUCAAGCAGCUUAAAUGUGAAAGAGUAACAUGUGAGGUUUUCGCAAUUCCAAUUAUGAUGGAUUUUCUGUUCGACACAAUGAUGUUGUGCCCACUUUACUUAUAGGCGUGCUUGUUGUGAAUCAUGUUUCAAAAUGUUUGGACCAUCUGUAUUUUAUUAAAUUUUGGUUGACUCACUGUGAAAACUGCAAAUAUGGUAUUCAAUUAAAUAAAUAAAUAAUGUGUGCAUUAUUCCAUAUUCUUCCAAGAUUUGGCAGAAUUCUAGACGUAUGAAAUCACAGUAAACUGCUAGACAUGGACUUUGUAAAAAUUGUGUGUUACAUAAUCAACUCCGUGCCAAUUUGAAUCUUUAAGUUGUAUUUUUUCUCAGCCUUUAAUUUAUUUGCACUUGCCAUAUUAAGUAAGGCUAAUUAGUUAGACCAAUACAACGUAUAUAAACCGGUCAGAGAACCAAAACCAGGAAAAUGAAAAUUGACACUCUAAGGGGCUGCAGGUGGAGGUUAUUCGAUGAGGAAACCAUCUGUUGAGUCUUGGUACUGCUGGGAUCUUGAAUUGAUGGUGGUGAAAGUGAACCGCUCGAUCCCUUGAACCUGUGUACAAACAGAGAUGAGGUUGUUACGGUCUGAGAAUGAAUGCAGUUGCCAAAAGCUAUAAAAUCGAGCGAAAGAAUCCAUCGGAAUAGGAUGCAUACCCGCGGCUGCUAGUGUUAGGGCAGAAUAUAAUAGCAUAAUCAUAUGCCUUGCAUGUGAAAGUGCUUGUCCCAUCGUCGAAGGCAUAGCUAUAAGCACUUGGACAAGCUCGCUUAAAAAUUGAUGAAUAAAAGGAGGGGCGGCAUGUGGUUGGAUUAGCAAACUCCCCGCUACAGCAGUAUUGAUCUAAUCCAAAUGCUUCACAUGCACUCUUACAUGCAAUCACUUCCCCUUCCCUUGUACCUUCUCCACCCACCACUUGAAGUUCUUUUGGGCAACCUGAUUACAAGUGAUUUUAAUUCGGUCAUUUUUCAAUAUUGCUGACUGAAAAAUGUUAGAUCAAGUUGAUGAAAAUCGAAAUCUUACCCAUGUUGAUAUCUGAAGCGCAGCCUGUGGCGUUACAAGCACCAUAAACUCCACGUGGUUCAGCAACAAGAGGGAGGUUGUAGCCGUCAACAAUGCUGACAUCAUAAAAAUCUUUGUCAUUGCCCUUGCCGAGGGUUAUUUCGAAGAGUGAUGCAGGUGGGGUAGCACCACUACCAUCACAUUGGAGUCUUCCUCCACAGUCCCCAGUUUGACAAGAUCCAACUCCAAACUCGUCAAAACUGCAUCCUGUUCUUGCCCAAAUCCGACCAGACCAUCCCGGAACAGAUGGAAUUCUUACGCUUUGCCCUGAUUCCAACUGGAAGCCGGUUGUUAGAAGCUGAGGGGUCCCUGAACCAGCAAGUGUACCAGGCCAUAUGGUAUAUGGGCAGUUAUUUGUUAUGGUGAAUGUAGAACCGUGAGAGGGUAAGAAGAAGAGAGAACCGAAAAGAAAAAAGGCAGCAAGGAAUGGCCAUGACGUUAUUGUCAGCAUUGGAUUGGCAGCAAGUUUUCAGAAGCAAAUUUUUGAGUGGCAGUUUGGGAUGGAGAUGCGUUGAUCCCUAGCUACAUUUACAUAAGAUUGUAGGUUUAGGAUUCUGCCUGUGCUAAAGGGCUACGUUGCCGCAAGAUGACCUUUUUGGGUUUAGUACAUUUCUUUUCAUCUUGGAUGGCCUCUUUGAGAAGCAAUUCCUUUCUUUAGCCGCAGCCACUGCAUAAAGCCAGGCAUAUCUAAUAUCUAUUACUGGUGAUGUUAUGAGCUGAUCAUCCUCUUAAGGAAUCAACUUAAUGUAAUAUCAACAGAUGGUUGUUAAGAGUAUGACCCAAGAUAGAUACCCGCUAGCAAAAGAAACAUUACAGUUUCUUGAUUGAUUAGAAAGGGGAGCAUUUGCGAGUUAACUUUUCAUUCCUUGCCAAAAAGAAAAAAAAGGCAAUACUUGUUUAUCUUCUGAAUUUUAAAGAUUUAAGAAAAACAUAUAAGUGAACAUAAUCUUUCUGCAGAUAAAAAUUUAAGCAUCUCAUUUUUCAUAAAUCUCAUCAUUGACUAUCUUUGAAUUUGGAGGAAAAAUCUUACUGAUAACACAUCAUUUUUCGCUGUUUGUGGCUAUUCCAAGAAGUGGGAGACACGAGGGUUAACUAAACUUGAAGAAGAAUCGUAGAUGCAAUGAUGUGCCUGUUAGGAAGUUAAUUCGAUGCAUGCUUUCGAAUUAGACUUUCGUUAAACUCUUUCUAAGGUCGAUUUGUUGUGGCGGGAAUUUGAUGUGCGAACGUGUCGAAAUCUGAUUGGAUGUGUUUUGGUUUGGGCCGGACUGUUCUUGCUUGAAAAAUUCCUCGCCGACAAGAUUAAACCCAAGAAAAACAAUCUUACUAAUAAGAAAAUGGUUUGAGAUAUUUGUAUUUUAAAAAUUAUUUUCAAUACUCAUACUUUUAUAAAAUUAUUUUAUUAUAAAAAUGGCCAAGCAAUAAAUUAUUACUGAAGACAAUCUACUCUUAAGUAAAUAUAACAUUAUUUACUCCAAACACCACACACUUGUUUAAAAUUCAUAAUUUUAAAAUAAAGCAAUCUCUUCCAUUUUCCAAAGAAAGAUUUUAAUUAAAAAAAUGGAUUUCCACGCAACUGAGUCAUCACAACAAGAUUAAUUUCUUUAGUUUUGUCUUGAUUCAAACCCAUCAUCACUCAACUCAAUUCUAAUUCAUUAUUUAACCCUCUACUUUUCUCUUUGUAGGCUCACGUCAAUAUGAAUAUCAUCGCCAAAUCUUUGAGAAUCAGCCGUUGUCCGACAAAUCGGACAAUUAGGAUUCUUCAAAAGCCAUGAAUCAACCAUUGAGAAUGAAAGCUAUGGUUACGUAUAGGUAGCAAUAUUAAUACAUACUCGUCAUCUUGGUUGAAGUUGUCCAAGCUAACCGCACAUUGAUAAUUCAUUUUCUCGUUGCUAAAUAAUAAUAGUAGGGCUUCUAGUAAAUUUCAAUUUAAAAAAAUGGUGUAACCAAUUAUUCUUUUAAUUUGCAGAAUAUUUUUGUGUGUGUGCAUAAUAGAUAAAGAUAACUAAUUUAAAUUUUAAGUGAUGAUUUUUUUAGGCUUUUUAAAGAUUAUAAAUUAUAAAAGAUAGUUUUUAAAAUUAAUGGAUGAAUGUGUAAAGUGAUAGAGUGUUCUGAGCAUUUUAUAGAAUGCAAAUAAUAUCACUCUUUGAAGAUCUUAUAUGCUUCCAUCAUAUGAUAGGUUUAAUAAGUAAUUUGUUUGUUUCAAAUAGUCUCUCCUUCUAUAUAAUUAUCUUAUAAGUUAUUUUCAUAAUUAAGUUAUUUAAUAGCAAAAUUUAUUAUUUUAUGUUAUAUUUUACUGAAAAAUGACAAAUAAUAUUAUUUUGAAAAAUAGUUAGUGGUCACUUUUCCAUAGCUGACGAAGAUGUAAAUUAAAUGAUGAAGAGUGUAGCGCAAUGAAAAUGAGGCUGGGCAUCCAAUGGGGGAAGACCAUCCUAACUAAGGAUGGCAAUUGGCUAGGUCAAGAUCGGACUUUACUAUAACUGAAGUAAAGGGCUUGAGCCUAAAAAAGCUCAAACCUUUGAAUUUUGGGUCGAGGUAACUUGACUCAAUUUGAAUUAGGGUCGGGCUCUGUGCCAUUAUUUUUUUAAUAUUUUAUUUUGCUAAUUAAAUAUUUUAAAUUUAAAAAAAUGAGCAUAAUCUCCCCUAAUGUAUUAAAAUUUAAAAGUAAGAAAAGCAAAUGAAAAAUAACAGCGAGAACAGCAAUCGAAAAAAGCAUCCAAAGCUACAGUUAAAACAGCAAUCAAAAUAACAAGGGACCUCAGACAUCAAGUCCAAUAAGAACAUCAAAUGAAAACAAGAAGGGACCUUGGACAGAGUGGGCUUCGGCCCAGCGGCGUUGUGGCUAAUUUUGGUGGCUGGUUUGUUUAUUUUGUUGGCUGGUUGGCUACCAGUAGCACAGCUGUCGUGGGGUGAGUUCGUGGCUGGUUGGUUGGUCGGUCGGCAGUACAAAAGAACUUUUGGUGAAGAAUUUAAAACUGGCAGAAAAUUGCUAUUUUUGUGAAUAUACCAAAAAUAGGCAUUACAUUGUAAAUUAACAAGGAGUAUAUUGUUAACAAGAACUUUGCAGCUUAAGUUAAUAUACAUUGUACUCUUUUUUCUUUGACCAAAUUUUAUGCUAUUAAGUUUUAUUGACAAGGUUUUAACGAAGUAGUAUCAAAGUACAUCUGGCUCCACUUCUUAUGAGAAUUAAAUGUAACCAAAGUGGGGAGUUUAAGGAGUAUCACAACUAUGGCCACUUUAUUAUUUUGCUUUUGUAAAGACUUUCUAUACUAAAUCUUUAUUAAAAUCCCUAAAUGGUGAAGUUCAAAGGAAAAUGUUGUAGACUUGAUGAACUCUCACCAUUUCCAACAGUCCCACAUCGAAAAUGUAGUCCCCCCCACCCAGGCUUUUGAUUUUUCCUACAAGAAUGCUUCAUUUCCUUCUGCUUAGUGCCUUCUAGGCUCACAGCUUGUAGGGGCAUUUUGAUAUCCAUCACCCAAACAAGUAAUUCUUCAAGAAGAAGAUUCGUAGAUUUGUGAGAUUUGUCAUUUUUUAAAUCCUUGUUGAUGAUAAUAAAAAGAAAAAGUAUCAUAAUAUAAAUAUGAAAUAUGUAAAUAAAUAAAUAAAUAAAUUAUGAAAUAUGCAAAAAUCUCAUGCAUGUACUGAUGGUUCUAACUAAAUCAUAACUUAGAAUUUCAAGUUUUGAUUUUUAAUGAGGCUAGAACAUUAGGUUCUCACCUCCUCAUUUGUGUUGUAAACUUUAGACUAUAACAGUAACAUUCAAAGACAAAUAUACGAAAUAACAAAUCUUAAUUUAUUAAAAUUAAAAUAACUUGAUGAGCGAUUAUACCAUCCAUAUAAACAAAUAGAUUAAACUAGCCAUAUUGACAGAAUAAUAACAUAUUAACAAUAUAAUAACAAUAUAGGCAAUAGUAUAGAACUAGCCAUAUAAAUUAAAAAUUGUUACAAAUAGUAAACAAUUAAAUUAACAGCAUCAACUAACAAUAUAAAAACAUAAUAAUAAAGCAUAAAUAAACAUAAGCGAUAAAAGUUAAACUAGUCACGUCAAAUCAACUAUCAUGCUAAUAUUGUGCUAUAAAUUAAAUAGAUAAAUAAAAUUUUUAGACUAAACAAAAUACUUUAAAUACCUUGUUAUUAGGCUUAUAAGAAGCCAAUUUUUAUUCACACCAAAACAAUCAAAUGAAGCACAUUUUUCGAUGUGGGAUUGUUGCAAGUGCUGAGAGUUUAUGAAAUCUACAACACUCAAUACAUAAUGCCCAUGAAAAUCAAAGCCGCCAAGUCUCAAGCAUAGAGGUUAAAUUCAAUAAUUCUGAGUCGAUACAAGAAAUAGAGUACAUGAACUUCAUAGAAAUGUAUACAUUAAGCACCUCCAUGAUACCCAAUAAUUUUUGCAUUUCAAUGAUAUAACCUUGAAAAACUUUGGCUACUCUUUCUCUUUAAUCUCUCCUAGCCGAACAUACAAAGGAAGAAGGAGCUAGGUCUAUUUUCUUUUUCUUUUUAUGGUAAGGAUUUUUGGUAGUGGGCUUGGUUGGGCUUAAUUAGGCUUGACUUAAAACAAUUAGUACUUGGCCCAAUAACAAUCUUAAGCCCAAAAUCAAGUAAGUCCAAGCACUAAUACGAUACCAUUACCCACACUAAUAUUAUUGCUUGUAACAAACAGCAGCAGCUAUAAAAGUAACGUGACUGAAAAUUAAAUACCAAUUAAGAAAAUAACCCCUAGUCAUCGCAAUACUAUCAAAAUAAUAUUAAUAAUUACUCACUUGAUUUCUGGGUAUUAUAGAUUUUAAAGCCUAAAAAUCUCCAACAAGAGAGGAAACAAUAUAAAUACUCUAAAUCAUCUAUUUGAACCAAUUAAACAAAGUUUCUUGAGCUUUGAUGGUUGCUUACAAAGAGUUGCAUCCUCAUCAAGCCAAAAUCACUACAAUCAGCAAUUAAAGGUGAGAUUAUGAUAUUUCUACGAAAAUAGAAAGAAAGUUAAAAAAAAACGGUGGGAAAAAAAAGCUAAAAAUGGUAAAAAGAAAGUUUGUGAUUAAUGGAGCAAGCUAUUGUAGUUAAAAGAGAAUAUGAAAAUCUACUACUUAACCACUUACAAGGAUAAGAUAUUUUCAGUGUUCCAAAAUUUUGAUCUUCUCCAGACAGUUUUCCAUGUGUUGAGUAACAUCGGCUGAGAGACGUGCUCCAACGGCAAGCUUAUAAUGUUCAAAUUUCACCUCCUCACACUUCAAUGCAGCAUUCUUACAGGCCCUGAUGCUCCCUACCAUACAAAAAGAAAAUGUCACUUCAUUCUCACAACAACAUAGAAAUAGAUGAAGUUCAUACUUCACUGUUCCAAAAAUCAAUAAAUGUGGUAAUAGCUGCCAAAAUGAGUUUAAUGAGUUUUUGAUGAGACAAUCCACCAUGUAAUAUGAAAAUAAUUCAAUUCACAUAACUGCUCGCCCAUUCAAGGAAAAAAAAAUUAAAAAAUUAGCACACAUGGAGCUCAUUAUAAUAUCUAUUUCAACCUAAUUUAUGAAAAGCAUUCAAGAAUGCCACUGAAAUACACAAUUUACUGAUAUGAACAAAUCCCCAUAGAAUUGAACAGCACAACUGCAAAUUUGCAUGCAAAAUAUUGGAGAACUUACUGCAGACGAUCCUGCAUAUGCUUUGCAGCAAAAUGUAGCAACAAAAGAAAACGAACUUCAAGAAGCAUGGUCGUACAAAGGAAAAUUUACAAAUAUCUUCUCAGUUAGAUAAAAAUGCUGAUGCUUUAAACAUAUUAAAAUACUUCUAUAAAACAAAAUCACAUUGAAGAAUUCAAAACUUUGUUCUCGCUAUCUUUUUCCCUCAAAUUAACCACAAAAGUAACCUAUUUAGAGUUGUAUGAACUCACCACUUAGGUCCAGUACGUUAAAUAGAACCAGGCAAUUUCCUAUGCUUCUAACCAUGGUCAUUGCAGACCAAACCUUCUGACAAUCCUCCCUUGAGGCUCUGAUGAUACAUAGCUUGGUGAUGGGAUUCACAUACUUGACUAUAUACACAAAAUAGAUGUUCAAAGAUAAGAAACCAGGAAAAUGUCUUAAAAGUUUUAAGGGGAAAUUUGUGCCGAACAAACAAGGACUGGUGACAUCUCACAUACCUUGGAAUGAUCCAAGCGAAGAAGCUAGACCACACUCGCCGAAGUUUACAAGAAUGCUGUCUCGAAUUGCUUUUGACACAUUAAAUUGGGUAAGUAUAACAGGAUCAUCCACGGGAAGCUCUUUAUUUGGGUCCAAAAAUACCUCCACUACCAUAUACCUAUUUUUAAAUCCUACCAUGAUCCUUUAUCUGUACAGAAACCCAAUGUUGUCAGUUAAAGCAAUACCUCAUUAAGAUGGACAAUUUGCUCAAUAAUAGAUUACUUCAUUAAACAUCUGGAAUUAAAGAGUAAUGUUUCCAGAUCUAUGUAAUUUCGGAUGUAAUUGAAAGUCCAUGUGGCAAUGGGCACAAAACAGCAAUCCAUUUGGAAGCAAUGAAUUUGAUUGGUUCUAUGACAUUUAAAGUCUCAUAGAUUGCCUAACAAAUAACCCAAAAAAAAAAAAAAAAUUUCUUAUGCAGAGAGUUAAUCGGAAAUAGUAAGUUUGAAUCGGAGCCCAGAGAAUCUCCAAGAAGUUUUCUUGGGGCUGCACAAUGACGGUAAGCCAUGCUAGUUGUAAUCAUAACUUAAUAUGGUGCAUCAAACUCUCUUGAGAAUCCAACAAUUACCAGAAUCAUAACUAAUACAAAGUUUUAUAUAGAACUUUUUUCAAGGUAUGUAAUGAAAGCUUUUUAGAGGUACUGCAAUUACCACUAUCAUCACACAAUUACAAUUGUUUACUAAGAAGACAAUCGACAAUUAUUUUAAACAUCUCUAUGCAACAUCUUCAAGAAACAGUGAACUUAUUUUCCUUUUAUCACAUAUUUAUAAACAGAACAUAUCACAAAAAAAAAUACAUAUUAAAGAACCUCGCCUUGAAUGAAUGAAGACAAAGAAAACUCAGUACUUUCUUGUAUUUAAAAGAAAGUACAACUAUGUACUCUUUAUUGAGUAAUACUACAUUGGUAAACAUAGUAGUACUCUCUCAUUUUACUUCAUGGAUUAAGCAAAUGAUAUCUAAGAUAGCAGACUUUUGAUUCCUUCAUUUUUCUGAUCGUAAGUGUUAGAAAAGACUUUCUAUACUAAAAUUUUUCAAAAUAAAGAGUUUGCCAUAGGACUAGGCACUUUGGGUUCGGUUUGGUUUAACCAAACCAAUCCAAAAUCAAUCAGUUUGAAAGAUUUCGAACCAAACCGAAUUAACAUCAGUACAUCCGAGUCAAAUGAAUUUGGUUUUUGGUAAAGAGAUGAAAAUCAGUCCCACUGGCAAUGAAGAAACAGAUAAAAGCAAAAAGCACAAGCACAAAAUUGAGAUCUUGGAAUCUCACAACCACCAUCAAUCUAGAUUAUGUGGUAGAUAAAACACUAAAAAGCUAAAGAAAUCGGGGGAAAAAAAAGAACAAGAACAGUAGGGUUGGCAAUUUGAGGGCCUGGGCUGGGCUUUUGCAGGCCCAGGCCCAAGCCCUUUAAAAGCCCAUCCCUUGAGCGGGCUGGGCGCUUUUAUUUUUUAAAAUUAUAAUUGUUUAAUAAAGCUAUAAACAUUUUAAAAAAAAACCUUAAAUUAUAGAUGAUUAUCCAAUGCACAAAACACUUGCAACACAACAUAAUAAGCUCUAAUUACUAAUAAAUAAAUAAAAUAAUCCAACAUACCAGUAUACCACCAAAAUUAGAGCAUGUAACAAUUUGCCAGCAAAGUUUCUUUAUUCUGUUAAAUUAUAAAUACUACAAUUUCAAAUUUGUUGAAAAUCUAAAUGCAUAAACAUGUAAUGCAAUUUAAAAAUUGAUAUUGCUGCUUCCUAAUCAAAUUGUAACUUGAUUGUGAAGAUGGAUUAUUGAAAAAUUAAUACAGAAAUUAAUAUGUAUAUAAUAAUUAACCAAAUUGUAACUUUAUAAAUUAUAAUCACAUAAUAUUUAUUGCAAAAUUAAUACAAAAAUUAAUAUGUAUACAAUAAAAAUUAAUACAGAAAUUAACCAAUAUUGUAACUUUAUAAUCACAUUGAUAUGUAUGUAUAUAUAGAUUCAAAUUUAAUACAGAAUUUUAUUUUCUACAAGAAAUGAAAAAAUCGAAAGUGGGGCUGAUUUCUACCUCAAAGAUCACGUGGGCAUGGUGUGUUCAAGGCAGAGUGGGUUCGCUGCUGCUGGCAUCCGUGCGCAGCCGCUGCUGGUGCUAGGUUCAACGCGUAUUGGUGCUCGCGACUCCCGUGACUAGCUGGCUGCCUGCUGGGUGCCGGGCUCGCGACUCGUGGUGCAGCGUGCUGGGCUUGCGAAGAUCGGCGGUGGUGAUGGCUGCGAGUGAGGACUGAGGGUGUGGCUGUCGGCUGUCGAGGCACGGUCGGCAGCUGGUGUGUGGUGUCUGCAAUGUUUGUUCUACUUCUUUUAUUUAACUUAGGGUUACUGCUUACCAAGUUAGGGAGAAUAGGUUACAGGGGAGAGUUUUCACUUUUCACUUUUGUUUUUUGUUUUUUUUGUUUUUGUUUUAAAUUAAUUUUUUUUAAAAAUUAUAAAUAAUAAAGUCUGGGUUGGGCCCGGCUUUUACAUCAGGCCCACUAUGUGAGGGCCUUAAUUUUUUAGUCCAUAUCCUUAUUUUUAAGCAACGGGCUGGGCUUAAAAGUCCUCGGGCCCAGGCCGGGCCUUUUUUUUUUGUUCCCUCUCUCUCUCUCUCUCAAGCCUAACUAUUGAACACAAGGUGCAACAGUAGUUUAAAUAGUUAGUUAAACACAACCACUCAAAUGAACACUUAGUAAACAAAUCCUCGAUCCAUCAUUUAACCUCCCAAAAUCCCAAACUCAAACCCGCGCAAAACCAAAACGGCCACAAAAGCCUCCAAUCCCAUCUCGACUCAGCCGAUAACUCACUCCCCUCGCAUUCCAACCAGCCCAUCUUAUCCCAACCCCAGGACCAGAACCAAGUAUGCUACAGCGAUAGCAAACUCCAAGUCAUUUUAAACAAAAUCAUUUUCUUUAAGUUGGUUCAGUCAUACAUGUAAAAUCAAUAAAUAAAUAAAAACAACUUGCUUGCUUACGCAAGUCAGCAACGAUGAAGAUAUGACAUAAGGCAGUAGCGAAUGACAAGUUGAUGACGAGGAUAGAACGGAAGGAAGCAGCGAAUGGCGAGUUGGCAGUGUGUGCAGGAUGGGCCGAUGGUGACGGACAUCUACCGUUUGCGAUUUUAUGCGAAUCUCCAAGUGCAAGGCGAGUGAGUAAAGAUGGCCAACGGGUCGUGCCGUGCCGGCCUAGGCCCAUUAAAGGAAAGCCCACACGUGCACGUGCUCGUGCUCAUGUCAUGCCGUGCUCACUAUGCGUUUCGUGCUGUGUUGUGCCAUAUCUAAUUUUUUUUUUUGCUUAGGCCCAGCUCAGCACACAUGUCGUGCUGUGGGCCAUGCCGUGCCAAGAAAAAAAAGAAGCACAUUAUUAAUUAUACUUCUUUAAAAUUAAGGUUUCCAAAAAUAAAUUUUUUUAUCAAAAAUAACUCUUAAUUUCUUAAAAUACGUAUUAAUUUUUUUUAUUAAUUAGAGAAUUAUUAAGAAAAUACUAAAAAAAUGAGGCUUUCUUAAAAUAUGAGACCUUAGGCAACUGCCUUGUUCGCCUAUACCUAAAGCCAACCUUGACUAAUAGCACCGCACAUUGAUUUUAUUAUAAAAAAUUAUGCCACAACAAAGUCACUUCAACUAAAAUAAACAUGAUAUAUCUUAAAGGGAGGCCCUAAGUUACGUUGAACGUAACUUACGGCCCUCUCACAGCAACAAUACCACUGGUGGGACUGGGCACUGUUGCUGUGAGAGGCGUAAGUUACGUGCAACGUAACUUAGCGCCAGCCUAUCUUAAAAUGCAAGAAAGUGCAGUAUUAAUUGCACUGGAAACAGACUUGGUGACAUUGUUUUAAUAUUGGGGGAGUUAAUUAUGUAAACUCAAAAUAAUUUGAGUGUUUGUGAAAUUUUUUCUCAUUUAUAUGUCAUUACAACAAAACUAGUCAUUUUCAACUAAACUUUUUUUUAAAUAAUUAAAUAUGGUAGGUAAUAGGGCAAUUUUCAACCUUAAAGUGAAGAUGUAGAAAAAAAUGAAAUAGUUAUAUAAUUUUUUUUAAUAAAAAUAACAUUGUUGAGAAUAACUUCAAAAUUAGUUAAUAAUAAAUUUAUUUUAGCAGGAAAUUUUAGCGCCAUUAGUAUUUAUAACUACUGUAACUAAACAUUAGAAAUGCAUAAUUUCUAUCGUUUCAAAAAUAUAGUUUCAAUUACUGUUAUUUUUUUUGUUAAAAAUAGAAAAAUAUUUUUAACUGUAACUAAGGUUAGAUGAAAAAACUAUUUAAAGGAUAGAAAAUUUUAAAUGACAACAUGGCCGCCAAUAAUAUUUUUCACUAGUAUAACUUGUAAGGUUGGUCAAAGCAAAGCUAUAAGGGAAAGAAAAUAUAAUAUAAAAGUAUAGAUCAUCUAAAAGAAAAAAUAAUUGUAAGUUUUUUUCUUUGUUUGCCAUUUUUUUUAAUCAAACAUGAACUGAAUAAUUAAAUAAUAAUUAAUUAAUGUACUUAAUGUUUAAUAAAAUGAACUUCCACAAUUGAUGUAGGAAGGUAAAUUAGGUUAUUUUAGGUAAUUUGGGAUUAUAGAAUAUUUAUUGUUUUAGGAUUUUUUAUUUUAGUUUGAGUUAAUUAUAGUAUGUAUCUUAAUCUUUUAUUUCCAUUAUAAUUGUGAUUUAGCUUUUCUUUUUAGGUUAACUUAGGGAAGUGGGUUUCCUCUAUUAUAAAUAGAGAGGCCUUGUCAUUAUUUUAAAAGUUCAGAUUCAAUUAUUCAAUAAAGCUCCCCUUUUAUAAUUCCCUUUGGGAUUAUCUAUCAAAAUUUAUCUUGUAGAAUCGUUUGGAUUAGAGCGUCAUUUAAUCUCGCUUAUGCGUUAUUAAAAAUCUCAUAGAGUUGUCUUGGUUAGAACGAUAUCUAAUCACGCUUCGAUUAGAGCGUAAACUAAUCGCGUUGGCUUGGUCCAAUACUAAAACGAUAUCUAGUGUUUUCUAUCCAAUCAAUCCCGCUUCCGCUACAUCUCGCCCCAUCAACAAUGCACACAUAAUUUCCAUCAUCCAAAAAAUAUAUAUAUAUGAAAGUGCCUAACACUUGACCAUGAAGUAAUUUGCAAUAAGUUAUUUAUAAAAUAAUUAUUAAAGGAUUAAUUUUUUUUUUCUAAAGGUUUUACUAGGUGCAACAAUAGAUAUUGAAUUACCUUAGUUAACUUAAAGAUACCAUUGAUUGAUUACAACAUAGAUAUAAUGUACGAUAUCUUACAAUUAAAUAUCAAUCAACUUUAAAAUAGCAUUAUAGUUCAAGAAAAUUCUAUAAUAUUUAUGAUCUCAUUCAAUCUUAUAAACAAACUUGAAACCUACGUUAAUGUUUAAGUCUCAAUUGUAUUAAUCAUUAUUAUUGAAUCAAUUUAAAGAUUGAUUGUAGAAGUAAUUGGUUUUUUUUUUUAUAGUUAAGCAUUUAAAUAAAUGAUGUCUAUGAUUGAUCAUAAUUAUUGUUGAAUCAAUUUGGAGACCGGCUAAUUUUCAAAUUAAUGUAAUUAUCUAGUGACAAUUUUAAUGAAUAGAGUUUAAAAGUUUUCAUAAUUGUAUUAUACUCUUAAUUAUAGAACAUGGAACUUAUGCUUCAUACUUGACAUUCACUGCAUAUAUUAAAAAAAUUAGAUUAUUAGCAGUGGCGGAUUUAGAAAAAUAAUUUACUGGGGGCUAAAUUAAAUAACGACAGAACAUAAAAAUUGAAAACUUAAAUAUAUAAACUUGAAUAUAACCUUUUUGAUUUAACGAAAUCUCUAAUUAAAAUGUGGCACUCACGAUCUAAUAAUUAGGAAUUAUAAAUAUUUUGAGAUGUGGACUUUGAUUUUAAGUCAAAGUAUAACUUUUAUAAUUAAUAAAAUAAUAAUUGAAAUUUAAAGAAUGUGGCUAACUAAUAAUUUGACAGAGGUUAUUUAGAAAUAUGAUAAUUUUUCUUUAUUAAAUAGAGGUAUUUUCUUUUUCCAAGCCCCCACUUGUCCUACAGUGAAUCCGCCACUGAUUAUUAGUAAUUAACAUUUAAUUAUAGUUGAAAUACUGUUUAUUAAAUUAGUCUAAUUGUCUAAGAAUGGUUGUACAAUUAAUUUCAAUUGUUUUGGUCUGACUUCAAUUCAGCUGAAAUAUUAUGAGUUUAUCUACAUAAUGUGAUUUUCUGGUGAAGAAAAAGGCUAAGAUGCCCAAAAACAGCUUGCUGGGAGAGACGUCUUUGUAUAUUUUUUGGACAUGCGGUGAACCAGUAUUGGUUAUUUCUCUCCUUAGAUAAGGAUUUUAGAGUAAUUUAGCCUUAUUUUGUUGAGGCUUUUGGGUUGCCUUAAGUUAGAUAGCUGCCCAUUUAAAGGCAGUUUGUGCUAGCAAUGUGUCCUCAACUCUAAUUCGCCUAUUUUGAAUGAAUCAAUUGGGUUGAAGAGCAUAUGAUUUCACUAGAGAUUGUACUAGUGGCUUUGUUUGAGGUCCCCUUUCCUCAAUUCUGACUUUUGCGACUUGCUAUGAGAUAUUUUAUAGACAUCCUAAGUGAGGACUAUACUGUAAUGGUGUGGUCUGGUGGCAUUGGCAUGGCUGUCAUUGUCUUGUCGUCCAUAUAGACACAUGGGAACUUGGACAUUUUGUAGUUUCAAUGGUUGAGGCUGGUUGUUUGACAUCUCUUCUCAUUCCAUCCUCCCUUCUCAACUUCAUCUUCAUCCUUUAUCAUAAUCUUGAGUCACAUUCCCCACGUGUUAUGCUGUCAAUACCUGUGGUUUAUAUUUUACAACCAACAUCAACAUAUAAUAAGAACUCUUGCAAUAAUUUAUUAAUAUUUUGAAACAUAACUAUGAAUUAUUAAGGCUAAUAUAGCUUCAUAGUGUAUAAGUCAAAUAUAUUUUCAUCUUUUUUUAUCUUAUUAAUUUUUCAUUUAAAUUUUAAAAUAUAUGUUAAAGAUGUUCUAUCAAUCAAUUUAGGCUAGAUAGUAACUAAGCAAUCUAGUAGUCAUAUAAUAGGUAUUAUAUAUAAUUGUUCAAUUAUAACAAAUUUCAUAUUUGCAUUAAUAUGAUAAUAAGUUUCGUUUUGCAAUUAAUCGAAUCAUAUGGUAAUAAUUUUCAAUAGUUAUCAGUAUGAAAUAACUAACAUAUGAUAAAUUAAUUAAUUGAUUUUUUUUUUUAAUUUGAAUAUCUUGUAUAUCUCUAGUAACUGUUUGGUCCACUUGAUUAUUGUAAUGCCACCUAACUAAAGUUUUUAUUGAAAUGAUAUUUUUACCCUAACCCAUGUUCUCCAUUCUCUCUAACAAAUCUCUCGGUUAGCCACUGAUAUUAAGCAAGGGAUGAAUUCAUCUACUCUUCUUUUGUAUUAUCUGUAUCCUCAAAGCUUUUAACUCUAUUUUAGGGCCAUCUUCUUGAUUCUUUCGAAUUAAGCUUUAUAGAAUUUGGGAAGAUGUUUUUAGAUAUUUAGUAAUUUUUUCCCAUCAACUUUAAUUUCUUAAGUUUGACUUCAAUUAUUGUUGGUCUCACUCUUACAAGGCUGGUUUGCGGCUUUUUCUAUCAGGUUGUUCGAUGAGAAUUAUUUGAUUAAUUGUGGCUUGUAGGUAAAAAUUAUUAUUAUUUUAUUGGAUUUUAAUUUUAACAAUUUAUUUUACAGCAAGUGAAAGAGACAUUAAUUAAGAUAGAUUCAUUUUCUUGUUUAGUAUAUAGGCUUUUCUAUUUUAAUUUAACUAUAUCUUAACUUUUUUAAGUUGUUAUGCAGGAAAUCAAGAGCCUAGGAAGAAAAAAUUACAACAUUCAAAAAAUGCUUAAUCCACAUUGAUUCUAUCAUUUAUCAACAUCAAAAAUAUCAUUAUAGUAGCUUUUGGUUUAUUAUAUUUUAUUCAAAUAUUUGUCAAGGAUUCAAGGAUUAAUCCACAUUGAUUUUAUCUUUUAGCAAUUAUUAGAAUGCCCAGAAAACACCAUAUUUGUAAAGCAAAAACAUAGUCAAACUCAUAUGAAUGUGGAAAACAGACCAAAUUUGUCAAUUUGAAUUGAAAUUCAUUGUCAGAUCAUCGAUAUUGGUAAAAGUCGUGGUGUAUUAUUUUUCGUGUAGCUUUUAGGGUAAUAUUUGAAUUUUGUUUAAGCUGCACAUGUGUUUGUUGAAAUUAUUUAUAAAAGAAUAUAUGUCCAUUGAUUUAUUGAUUACUACACCAUUGAAAUAGGGUCAUGCAGCUUCUGGUGUAUUAGUUGUAUUUUGUUUAAACUGCACAUGCACUUGUUGAAAUUAUUUAUAAAAGAAUAUUUGUCCAUUAUUCAUUGAUUAAUACUAAGUCAUUAUCGUAUGGUCGUGUAUCUUUUGGUGUAUUUUGUCUAAGCUGCACAUGUGUUUGUUGAAAUUAUUUAUAAAAGAAUAUAUGUCCAUUGAUUUAUUGAUUACUACACCAUUGAAAUAGGGUCAUGCAGCUUCUGGUGUAUUAGUUGUAUUUUGUUUAAACUGCACAUGCACUUGUUGAAAUUAUUUAUAAAAGAAUAUUUGUCCAUUAUUCAUUGAUUAAUACUAAGUCAUUAUCGUAUGGUCGUGUAUCUUUUGGUGUAUUUUGUCUAAGCUGCACAUGUGUUUGUUGAAAUUAUUUAUAAAAGAAUAUAUGCCCAUUGAUUCAUUGAUUAUUAGGUCGUAGCUUUUGGUGUAUUUUGUCUAAGUUGUACAUGUGUUUGUUGAAAUUAUUUAUAAAAGAAUAUUUAUCCAUUGAUUCAUUGAUUAUUAAGUUGUAGCUUUUGAUAUAUUAUUCGUAUUUUGUUUAAGCUGCACGUGUAUUUGUCGAAAUUAUUAAUAAAAGAAUAUUUCUCCAUUGAUUCAUUGAUUUUUUCCCCUAGAGGCAAUUAAUAAAAUCAGUUUCAACCAUACAUUUUUCUAUUAAUUCAUUGAUUUUUUUUAUAGAGGUUAUUAAUAAAAUGAUCAUUUUAACUAUGAAGUAGAAUAAAAUGAAUUUCAACAAUCAUCUUCUUGGAAAUGCUAAAAAAUAUUGAUGUCUUAUAGAACUACAGUUGUUUCAACUGUAUUCAGUAGUCAUAAAGAAAUUGUUUUCCUUGUAGUGUCUAUAUACAAAGAAAUUCAACCUUUAACAAACUAACGAGAAUAAUAAAAAAGCAUAAGUAAUCAUAUCAUUACAAAGGCAGAACCUUAUUUUGGAUUACAUUACAUUGCGUGACAGUAAACAUAAUUAAUUAAACUUUUAACAGUUACCAAGUACUAUUUUUUUUCUUCAUAAAAGUCAAACAAGAAAAAAAUCAUACGGAACUUUCAAUUAUUCAUUUUAUUUAAUAUAUAUACAUAUAUGAAUAUCGAAGUUAUCUUAAUUAUUUGAAAUUAUGGCUUAAAGGCAUUGACCACUAAAAUAUGAAAAAAAGAAAUUUUAAAAGAAACAUUAUGAUAACGAGCUUCAAGGUCUCAUGCAACAUUGAACACAGAGAAGACUUUGAAAGAAAUAAAAAUAUGAUACAGACGUCCACUGGGCCGGCGGCUUAGAGUACAAUGCAUUACCAUGAUACGCAUUCAUACAGUGUGAUUCGUGACACUGCACGUUUUAUGAAGCCCAACUAUUCUCAGUUAAGCCCAGCUUCGGUACAUUGGAUUGAAUAUUUCAUCUAAUUAUUACUAUUCUUGUUAUUAGGUGAGAACUUGGACGAAAAUUACCAAAGUUGGCAUUCCUCAACAAAACUAAUAAAACCAAAUUAAAGAUCUAGAAAAAUGCAAACGAAUAGAAACAUGUUACCAACGCACAGAUUGUGUUGAGAUGAGAGAAUUUGAUCCAAUUGUUGCUUGGCAAAAGAUUGCAAUAUUGGUUGUAAAGCAUGAACUACCACUUAAUUCUAAGGAGUAUGAUACAUUUAGGGAUUUGAUGUCUUAUACCAACAUGUUAUUGAAGAUGGUGAGUAAGAACACUUUAAAGAGUGAGAUCCUUAAAUUGUAUCAAGCUGAAAAGGCAAAAAGAAUGGUUUUGUUGGAGAAUAAUAAUAGUAGGGUGACAAUUGCUAUAGACAUGUGGACUUCUAGUAAUCGAAAGAAGGGGUAUAUGAUUAUUACAAGGCAUUUUGUGGACAAAUGCUGGCAUUUACAAAGUUGAAUUUUAAGUUACUUUUCAUGUUAUUUGAUGUUAUAAAUAUUUAUUUACUUUUACUUCAAUUUAAUUAAUUCUAAAAUUUAGUUUUUGGGUAAUAAAUAGGUUCAUAUAUUUGCCAGCUCCACAUACCGUUGAAUUUCUUUCUCAAGCAUUUUUUAAGUGUCCAAUGUAUUGGAGUGUGGAUAGAAGGAUAUCAGUUGUUACUUUAGAUAAUUGUUCGACCAAUGAUGUUAUGGUUGAUAGGUUGAUGGAAUUGAGUCUAGUUGAUUCUAUGUUAGUGGGUGGAAAUUAUUUUCAUAUGAGGUGUGUGACUCAUAUUAUAAGCCUAGUUGUGAAGGAUGGGAUGAAAAUGAUUGAGGAGUGGAUUAAAAAGAUUUGGGAAAAUGUGGCUUGUUGGAUGGGCACACAAAAGACUGUAUAAAAUUUUGAAAUGGUUGCAUGUCAAUUGCAAGUCAAGUGUGAGAAAAAGUUGGUGCUUGAUUGUGUAACUAGAUUGAAUUCUACAUAUGUUAUGCUUGAUGUUGCUGUGAAAUAUAAAAAUAUCUUUUCUAGAUUGUAGUAACACAGCAAACACUACACUUCUUUACCAGUGGAUAAUGAAUGAGAGAUGGCUGAAAAAAUGUUGGAACAUUUGCUAUCGUUUUACUCGAUUGCAUAGCUAUUUUUAGGUACACAAUAUCCCAUAUCUAAUCUUUUUUCCCCAAUGAUAUGUGAAAUGAGUAUUAACAUGAAUCAAUGGGAACUUUCUCAUAUACUUGUGGUUAGACAAUUGUCUGGUCAAAUGAUUGUGAAAUUUGAUAAAUAUUAGACCUAAAUACAUGGGAUUUUGGUGAUGGCUAUUAUCCUUAACCCGAGGCUUAAGAUGCAAUUGCUUAAUUAUUAUUUUUCAUAACUUUAUGGUGAAGAUGCUGCAAAUGAGAUUCAAAGAGUAAGCAAUCUAAGUAACGAUUUGGUUAAAUUUUAUUAAGUUAAUAAUGAAAAUGUGAGUGAUACGAUUAUUGGUGAGUCUUCUUCAAGCGAUGUUCGUUUUAAUUUUAGUACGGGUACUGGUGGUAAAUUUUUUUAUAUAUGUAAGUUUGAGGCAUUUCUAAGCCAAAAUAAUGAGAUCAUGGUAUCGAAGUCUGAUCUUGAGAGGUAUUUAGAAGAGCCUUUAGUCAAAUCCACUUCGGACUUUCAUAUUUUGAAUUGGUGGAUGGUAAACCAAGACAAAUAUCUUGUCUUGGCUCAGACGGCCAAGGAUAUCUUAGUCGUUCCUGUGACAAUUGUUGCCUCUAAAUCUGCAUGCAUUUAGUAGAGAGGUAAAGUCUUGACUUUACAUCGGAGCGGACUUCAUCCUACGAUAUUGGACGUGCUUAUGUGCACUCAAUAUUAGCUAUGGUCGAGCUCUAACUGUAUGAAUACAAAUAAUGUAGAAACUAUUUAAAUAAUUAGUUUGAUAAUAAUUUUAUAUACUUAAAUUAUUCUCACACUUUCUUUUUUUCUUUUUCUUUUUUUUUUAUAGGUAGAAUUCUUGAAACUGAAAUUGUGUGUUUUUAUUUGUAUAAGAAAUUAUUUUUGUUUGUCUUUAUUUUAUUAUUUAUAUAAUUAUAUGGUUGAGACCUUAGAGUAAUUUUUAUAUUUAUAGUACUUCAAACCAAUUCUAAAACUUUUAAAUUUCAAUAUAUAUGGGGAGGUUAUGUCCUUUUUAUUUAAAUUUAAAUAACUUAAAUUUAAAAAAAAUUUAAAAAAAAUUUAAAAAAUUAUGGUAGGGUUUAGACAAAGCCCGACCCGUUUUAUCCUUUUUAUUUAAAUUUAAAUAACUUAAAUAUAAAAAAAUUAAAAAUUAUGGUAGGGUUUAGACAAAGCCCGACUCGACCUGACCUGAAACAGGUCGGGCAUUUUAUUUCAGUGACUGGGUCAAGCUCGGGUUGGGUCAUACCCCAUCCGCCCCGGCCCAUUGCCACCCUUAAGUCCACCCUUAUAAUUGGUGUAUGUGACAAUUUUAUAGAUAUACGUACAUACAUACAUACAUAUGUAUGUAUGUAUGUAUGUACAUUCUUAAUUGUGUAUCUAAACAUAUGAUAAUUUUGACAAUUUUAUUAAAUCUUGAAAGAAAGAUGAUAUUUUUGAAAAUUUCUUUUUUUAAUCUAAUAAUAAUAAUUUUUUUUACAAGAUACAUAAUCUAACCCACUAGAUGCAUAUUUUAAUAAUUAAUUAUCUCAAUCUUGUAAAUUAUCAGUUUUCGGACAAAUUAUAUUCAGUGGCAUGCAAAUUGCAAAUCCUAAAUCUAUCAUAUUUGGUUACAGAAUGCGAAUCUUAAAUUCAUCUCACUUUCUUAAGACAAUACAAGGAAGAUAUCACAUUUUCUUGUUUAUAUAAGGCGUAACUAAUAGUGCAUAUAAGCAAUAUCAAAGAAUACUAUUUCUUCAGCAAUUAAUGAGGUAUAAGAUAAAUUAAGUUUCUAAAUAAUAAAAGUUUUGUCUAAUCUAUCUGACUCUUACGUUUCCGCUUUGUCAAAGUCAUAAUAAAGCUGAUCUUGAUCAGAUGAUUUGUCAUCAGGCAGCUGUAAGAAAUUUGAGAAGAUCUUGAUUCUUGUAGUUCUAACAGAUUAAAAUUUAUUGGAGACAAACCGAACCCAUUACAUGAUCAGAUGCUUCUAAUUAUUCCUAGAGCUGGCAUAAGAAGAUACGAAUCUGAUCGUACAUUACAUAAUAUGAAAUGCAAGCAUAGCUAGCUAAAGAUUACUGCUUGAGAACAAAAGAAGCCAAGCGUUUGAUCAUUUUCCUAGCAUUCUCAGUCUCAUAUUUCAAUAUAUGAAAUGCAUGAUCCUCACCCUCUACUUGAACAAGCUCCACUUCUCCUUCCCACCCACUUUCCUUGACAGCAUUAUAGUACAAAAUCCCUCUAUCCCUCAAAACAUCCAAUUCAGCAACACUCACCAGCAGCCGACGGCACCCAAGUUGAGCCAAGGUCGGCGCUUCCGGGCUAACAACGUUGAUCAUCGGAUUAUCAGCCCCGCCAGCCACAUUAGGGCAUAAAAACUUCCAAACAAGGCUGGGCAAAAGCUUCUCAAAAUCUCUUGUAUCCUCUGAUCCCACAGGCUUCGAGCCCCAGAAGUACGGGUGAGUUAAAAAAGCCCCUAAAAUUUUAACACCACCGGCCAACUUCUCUCUGCCUGCUCGCAUGACCACAUGAUGAGCAAUGUUAGCUCCUGCACUAUCGCCAGCUACAAAAACUCGAUCAAAAUCCCCAAACCUCGCUAGCCAUGGCUCCUUGUUAUCAAAGCCGCCAUUGUUGACAGAGUGUGAAGCAACCCAUUGGAGGGCAGACCAGGAAUCUUCGUAAGCGAUGGGGAGAGGGUGUUCAGGGGCUAGCCUGUACUCAAUCGAUAUUGCAACAACUUUGGCUUCAGAAACCAGGGCAUUCAUCAGCUUUGUUUCGACUAAAGAGAAGGCGGACUCAAAGCAGAAGCCGCCACCGUGUGUGUAAAACAAGAUUGGGAGUUUUUGGGUGCUGAUGGGUUGUGCGAGUUUCGGGAGAUAGACUCUAGCCGAGAUUUUGGGGUUCUCGGAAAUGGUGAUGUCUUUGGAUGAGACUCCGGUUUCUGGAUCCUCAUCAGGCGACGGCAGCACCAUUGGAGAGCCGCUGAGUCGCUCAACGGAGCCGUCUUUGUAGACUCGGAGGAGUGGGAGCAGCUCUGAUGCUACUUCGGCCAUGGAAUUAACUCUUGUCCUCAAGUGACUCAAGAGAAAAAAAAAAUGCGAUUUGAGAAGUAUGCCAGAAACUACACCCCUAUUGCUCCUAUAAAACAACGCAUGCGCAGCCAAACCUGAUAGUUUUUUUAGUUGAAUUUUGAUCUCAUAGACAUGAUUCACGUCAUUCGUGUUGCAAAUAGCACAAAUUUAAUAAAGAAGUUACAAAAGACACCAAAAAAAAAAAAUUAUAAUUAUUUUUUUGGGUAAAAGUCCAUUUAGUCUCUAUAUUUUAAGAUUAGUGUCCGUUUAAUCCCUAUAUUUUUUAAAAUACCUCAAAACACCCUUGGCAUCACCUCCGUUACUGUUAAUUCUAGAUUUAUGAGGGUAAAAUUGUAUUUUUCUUGGUCAGAUUUAAAAUUUUAAAAAAUUAUUACGAUAACCUAGAUCCAUAAUUGCAAAAACGUAUUUUAACCCUAAUAUUCUUUAAAACCCUCGCUUUAAGAACUUAAGUAACUUGCUUUUUUAAAACUCAUAACAAUUUUCUUGCUAUAAAAUUUUUUCUAUCGGAAACGUUGUCUUGCAGUAGAUGUCAAAACCGACAACGAAGGAAAUUGGCCUAUUCUAGUACGUCUCACGUUGGUCUUGUUUAUUUAUUUAUUUUUUUAAUCUUCCAUGUGUUCAGUGAAAAGAAAUUAUUUUUCUUUUCACUUGAAUGGGUAUUUAUUCCCAAGACUAAAAUUUCAUAUGAAGUAGACUAAAAGUUGAACGAUUUUUGUUUUGCAGUAGACUAAAAGUUGAACGGGUUUUAUUUUCUUUCUUUUUUUUUAACCCUUUCAUGGUUGUUUCGUAGCUUAAUAUUAGUAGUGGAAUGGAUUUGUAAUUGAAAAGAAAUUAUUUUAACUUCACUUGAUUGAGGUUUUUUUUGUAAAAAAAAAUCAUAAUCAUAUAAAGUUCUAUAAUGUCGAUUUUGUAUUUUAUGAAUUCGUAUGUAAUAGUUUUAAGUUUCUGAUAAUUUUUUGUUCAUCUUUAUGUUGGCAGAUUCAAAUGAGUCAAAUCAGCAUUUCAGUUCGAUUUUUAGGCAAAGAUGUGGAGGAUGCUUAUGAUCCUGAUUGCUUGAGUCUUGUAUCCCUCAUCAACGAUGUCUUGAAUAAUGUCUUUGGAAGGCACAGGCAUUCUGAUGAGAGCUUUAAGCUUACUGGCAUUGUCCCAUGGAAUUAACUCUUGUCCUCAAGUGACUCAAGAGAAAAAAAAAUGCGAUUUGAGAAGUAUGCCAGAAACUACACCCCUAUUGCUCUUAUAAAACAAUGCAUGCGCAGCCAAACCUGAUAAUUUUUUUAGUUGAAUUUUGAUCUCAUAGACAUGAUUCACGUCAUUCGUGUUGAAAAUAGCACAAAAUUUAAUAAAGAAGUUACAAAAGACACCAAAAAAAAAAAUUUAUAAUUAUUUUUUUUUCUUUUUAAUAAUAAUGUGUUAUUUUAUACACAUCAAUAUCACGUAACACAAAACAUAAAAUAACACACAAUGAAGAUGUACAUACAAUAAAUAAAUGAAAGAUUCAAUAAUGAACCUAUUGGUGUCAUACAUACAACAAAUAAAUGAAAGAUUCAAUAAUGAACCUAUUGGUGUCACAAAACUCAAUAUAUUUUUUCUCUCAAAUAAAUGAGCGGAAAUAAAUAUUUCCUUCACUCAUUUGCAUUGAGCAGAAAUCCCUCUUUUCUAUGAGGAUAACAUCAUUUUUUUUUUAAACUCUCAAAUAAGGUGCUUCAUCGACUUUUAAUCGAUUUCUAUGUUGAAACGUCAAAGAUUUUUUGUGAGGUUUUUUAAAUUGGUUGAAAAAGAAAAGUGAGCCACAUGCAUUAUUUUUGUUUUUUAAAAUCAGCACCAAAUUACAAGACUUUUGCCAAGACUUUUGUCAACUACUUUAAGAUUUUUUGCAGUGAAGCUCAACUAUAAAUAGAGCUUUAUUCAGAGAGCAAAUUGCAUUCCGAAAACUUGAGAGCAUCUCAAAAUUGUUAAGCUUAUAAAUUUCUAAGUUUUUGAGAGAAGUGAGAGAAGUGUGUCCGGAAAAUUUAUCUUUCCUGCAGAGUGUAAGAGUACUGGGUAUAUUUGGGUUUCUAGGAAGUGAGAUUCGUUACUCAAAUAUUUAUACUCUAUUAAUUGUUAAAUAAAUAAUUAUUCUUUCUUGCCUCUAUAGAUGUAGGUUUAAUUACCGAACCACGUUAAAUAAUUAUAUCUUUUAUUUUUCUGUAAUUAUUUAGUGCGCUUAAUUCCGCAUUCCGCGCACAAUAUUCUAAUCAUAUGUUUGAUUGUAAAUGUAAUAACAGAUAUAGUGUUAAAAAUAAUAAUAAUAAAAGUUCUAUUUUUUAAGUGCGGGUACCCAGUUGAAUUUGUUGUAUUCCACCUUUCAUUCAAAGAUGUAUCGCGAUUCCGCAAUCCGCGAGCAUUAUUGAACGACCACUUGACCAGAGCUUGAGAGCCUGUUAUUAGUUUAUUUUAUAUUAUCUCAUCUUUAUUGGGAAGUCAGUUCGCCUAAUUUUUUUUUCCUUUAAAAAAUAUUAAAAGUCUGAUAUUUUUCUUUUUUGUAAUAUUUAAAAGCUGAUAUUUUCGAAACAUUCAGAAAAAUAAUAAUUAAAAAGCUAAAGAGACACGGCAAAUGAAUUAUUCACUCUACUUAACUUGUUUUGCCCGUCUGGGGGGCAAAAUUGCCUAAAUUUGUCUUUACAAAUGUCUGUAGUAACCACGCACUCCACCUCUAUAAAAUAUAAAUAAAAUAAAUAGGCCUAUCUUUAGGGAUAAUUGAAAAAAAAAAGUUAGUAUAUUGAAUUGUUAAAAUAUUAAAAAAAAUGGUUAAUAUUAUAAAUAAAUAUUAUCUAAUAACAUGAUUGAAUGAUUUCAAAUAAUAUUAUUUAGUAUUGAAUUUAAAAAAUAAAAAAACAAUUAUAAGCUUUCCACACGCCUUCCUCUUUUUAAAAAGAAGAGGAAGAAAAAAACAAAAAAGAAAAACUAUCAUCAAUAUGUAACAAUUGAUCGUAUCGACUCGCUAAUAAAAGUACAAGUAGUGCAUGCUCUAGCCGGCUAAAGGCAUCUUGUAUGGAACUGAGUUCUCUUAAUAUCCGUUUGAAAUUGAGGUACUGUAACUUUUAAAUUAUAAUUAUUGUAGAAAAAAAAUUAUAAUUAUAGGCCUAUCUUUAGGGAUAAUUGAAAAAAAAAAGUUAGUAUAUUGAAUUGUUAAAAUAUUAAAAAAAAUGGUUAAUAUUAUAAAUAAAUAUUAUCUAAUAACAUGAUUGAAUGAUUUCAAAUAAUAUUAUUUAGUAUUGAAUUUAAAAAAUAAAAAAACAAUUAUAAGCUUUCCACACGCCUUCCUCUUUUUAAAAAGAAGAGGAAGAAAAAAACAAAAAAGAAAAACUAUCAUCAAUAUGUAACAAUUGAUCGUAUCGACUCGCUAAUAAAAGUACAAGUAGUGCAUGCUCUAGCCGGCUAAAGGCAUCUUGUAUGGAACUGAGUUCUCUUAAUAUCCGUUUGAAAUUGAGGUACUGUAACUUUUAAAUUAUAAUUAUUGUAGAAAAAAUAUUAUAAUUAUAAAAUAUAAAUUAAUAAUAUAUAAUAAAUAUAAAUUUUACAUAAUAAUUUUAAUAAAAUUAUUAAACAUAUAAUAGAUUUUUUAUUACAAGUUACAGCAGUUAAUAUUUAUCAAAUAUUUUAAUACUGUAAUUUUUAAAUUAUAAUUGUCCAAUUUCAAUCUCAAACACACCCUAAAUCUUUGGCCGGCUCAGAGUACAAGUGUAGUCUUGCUAGUUUGCCGCUUUUCACCAGAAACACUCACAGAGCAAAGCAAGUCAUACUCAUAUGUGCUCGACUCCCCAAGUAAGGGAAUAUCUCAAGCAAGGAACGAGGCUUCAGCAUCUUCAAACCCAGAAGAAUUCUGGGCAUGCGACAACUCUACUUCAAAAGUUCAAGCUGUCAAACUCAAACACAUCAUAAAGUAGUUGUUGACGACCAAGCAGAUUGACCCGAUGAGGAUGGACGUUAAUUUCACACAUUAAAGACUGUUCUUUUGCUGUACACAUGAUCUUUGAGUUUAAUGAAUAGCGGCUAAGCAGCCAACACAAACUUUGGGCAAUUACAUUUGUACAGUAUUAUUUAUGCAAUGAAUUAAAAAGUAAGCCGUUUUCAGAAUAUUAAUGAAUAGAUAGUACAAUCUCAAGGGACGAUACUAUACAAUGCGGACAGUAGAGACUUGACCGCACGGCACAGACAGUAAAUACUAUAUUAUGUGUUACUACAAUAACUAUUAAUGGCGGUUUGGGGAACCAAUUAAGCAAGAGACUUGACAUCUAUUGGACCAAGCCCCUGGAUUAGUUGUUGAGAAAACUGGACAAGGUUUGGAACAUAAUCUUGGCAAUCUCAGUCUUCGGAUUAAAAAAAUGAAAAGCGUGAUCCUCUCCCUUGACUUCAAACAGCUCCGCUUCUCCUUGAAACCCACUUUCCUUGACUGCAUUAAAAUACCAAAUUCCUCUAUCUCUCAGCUGAUCCUUCUCAGCAACACAAACCAGAAGCCUUGAACAACCAAGCUUAGCCAGAUUCGGCUUGCCUUCACCAACAGGAUUGACCAUUGGAUUAUCAAUACCUCCAGGCGCUGUCGGAUACACAAAUUCCCAACUUAAAUGUAAAAAAUUAUUCUCACGAUUAUCACCAACAGGCUCUGAACCAAUUGGAUUUGAUCCCCAGAAGUAAGGAUGCCCAAGAAAUGCUCCCAAGAUCUUAACACCAGUACUCUCCUUCAAUGAAGACUCGUGAUUAUCAUGAUCACCUUCACCCGCUCGCAUAGCUAUAUUGUGAACUAUAUUGCCUCCUGCGCUGUCACCACCAAUAAAGACUCUCUCAAAAUCGCCGUGGUUCAAUAACCAGGCCUCUUUGUUGUUACUGGAGUAGUUUUCAUGAUCAUCGAUUUUGUUACGAUGAGAUGCAACCCAUUGAAGAGCAGCCCAGCAGUCUUCAUAUGCUGCAGGAAGAGGGUGCUCUGGGGCUAGCCUGUAUUCUACAGAGACUGCGAGUACUCGAGCUUCAGAGACUAAGAUGUUGAGGUAUCUGUGGUUAAGAAAUGAGAAGGCGGAUUCGAUGCAAAAGCCACCGCCAUGAAAGUAGACAAAGAUUGGGAGUUUUUGAUGAUGAUCAGUGAGUUUUGGGAGGUAGAGGCGGGCUGAUAAUGAUAUGGCGGGGUUUUGGGAGAUAC
rnacentral:lncRNA from 1 species